UUAAGAGCUUUAAUCGGCUUCUUGACCACUCACUAAAGCCAUCCUGCUCCCACCCACGAGUAAGUUGCGAUCCCCGACCAUCAAUGAGCAGCCAGUGCUCUCCAAACUGUUAACACAAUAACUUCAUUAAGAUUCCUUCCUUGGGCUUAGGCCCAAAAUCGAGCUGGGCGACAGGAAAUGCCGCGCUGCUCGCUCUGCUCCCCAUCGUCCAUCUUCUCCCUCCCUCGCAUUCUGCUCCCCAGCCAGAAGCAAAUGAAGAAGAGGACGCGGCAGGAAAGAAGCAGCGAAAUCAAAUUAUAAACACGCCAGGGUGGUCGAGAGGGCGCGGGGCAGACAGGAACAGACGGCGAUGAGCGACGACCGAGAGACCAACCAGCCAACGGUUACUCCACGAGCCUGCCUGACAGCCCCGCUGCAUCCCGCUCCCACUUGCAAUUACGCUGCCGGUUCCGCUGACUCUGUCUCUCCCUGCUCCCAACCCUCCCGCACUGCACUGGAUACACUUGGGAAAACAGAUUUUUAUGAUAACUGGCUGAAGCUAACUUCUGGGAUGCUAGAGUUUGCUAAUCUUGUAAGAACACACCUUUGCCAUUACUAAUCAGUAACUAAGUUGCUCGGACCAACAAAAAUGGAGAUAAUUUAACUAACGGCUACUGUGUUCCGUAACUUCCCUGCUGUCCAAUGCAAUUACUUAAGGCGAUCCAUAAGCUAUGCUUAAAGUUAUGGCAAGUGGGCAAACUUUCGACCAGACGCAAGAUUGAAGCUUAUGAAGCCAUAGAACACACACGCACACACAGACACGUGCGGGCCCAUCAGUUAACCGUAGUGUGUGUGUGUGCGUGUGCCAGCAAAUGAGGGGGCGGAACGGUGGCAGGCGUGGCCGAGGGGCGGCGUUGGGAGGCAGCCACUCAACUCAGACGCCAGCAACGCGUAGCAACGGUCACAUCCUGCUGGCGAGCUGUCGUUGGAGAGUUGGGCUGGAGAGCCGCCACAGCGAAAUGGUAUUUUCCAUUUAAUUUUUGCACACUCGCACACACGCACAAAAGCUCGCACACGCGGGCCAUAUGUACAUGGGUACAGUGGAGCGUCGAUAAGUGCAAUUAAGCAAAUUUCGAAUGGCAUACAUACAAAUAUGGUCUAGAUUAAUAAAGGAAAUCUAAUCUUAGUGAGUUACUACUGUAUGUGGCAGCACACGCACAAGGCGGAGCUGGAGUGUGAGCAAAAAAAGAGGAAGAGGAGCAUCAGAGCAGCCAGAGGUGGCAGCAAUAACAACAACAACAACGGCAGCAGCAGCAACAGCAGAGGCCCAAGCAUUAUUGUCGUCGCGAAACGAAACGUGAGCGUAACGAAUGCGCAAGCAGAAAUCCAGCAACAAAGCAAAUGCAGGCCAAAAAGGCGGUGGAAGCCAGAGGGGUGGUGCCAGAGGGGGCAGUUAAUGGCGCACAGGCAAAGAGCAACAGCUGCUAACGAUGUUGACGCGCCGAUGACGGGGCCGCAACCAAAUGGGCAGACAGAGCUGCGAAAGAGAGGACAAAGAGGACGACGAGCAGGAGGCGAAGGCGGUGAACGGCGGAGAGCACAAGAGCCUGGCUCUUUUAUGGCUAAAAACGCUAAUGUGACCGAUGGACCUGUGUCUGGGGGAGGGGAAGGGGAAGGGGCAGAGGCAGGGGAGGGAGCAUGACGGAGCGCAAAGCACACGCAAAAAGCCCAGGCAGCAACAAAGCAACACAAGCACUCGGCAGCUAGAAGAAGACACCCUCAAAAGGUGGAACACCGCAGCGGCCAAUAUGGCGACCCUUGCCAUUUCCCAUUCCACUUUCCCUACCCACCAACCCCCACCUCCUCCUUACAGCCCUUCUUCGCACCCACUCACACUCACACUACCGAAAUUAACGCAAAACAAAUGAAGCACACGCAUGUGCCGCCGUCGCAGUCGCAGUCGACGUUGGCAGCGAACUCAAGCGCAUCGCAACAACUACAGACACAACAAAUGAGCAGAAUUGCAUUUUGUGCAUUUCGACCCCCAAAAAGUGUAAGCUGGACGCAAAAAUGCAAAUGACAGGCGGCAGACAGUAAUCCCCCAUGGAUGAACGGGCUAACGGGGCGGGGGCGGGGGAUGGUGCGUUGCGAGAGGGAGAUGGACUGACCGCCCAUUCCAAUCAUCGAAGUUGCUUGGACCUAUCCACACCACUCAAAAUCUGGAGUUGGUUCGUCGGGUGCCCAGCAAACCAUGUACUACUACUGCAAGGUGACCGAUGCGGACAUGGCCACAGGUGGCGGCGGCAUGGU